rnacentral:rRNA from 1 species
UGCAGUCGAACGGUAACAGGAAGAAGCUUGCUUCUUUGCUGACGAGUGGCGGACGGGUGAGUAAUGUCUGGGAAACUGCCUGAUGGAGGGGGAUAACUACUGGAAACGGUAGCUAAUACCGCAUAACGUCGCAAGACCAAAGAGGGGGACCUUCGGGCCUCUUGCCAUCGGAUGUGCCCAGAUGGGAUUAGCUUGUUGGUGGGGUAACGGCUCACCUAGGCGACGAUCCCUAGCUGGUCUGAGAGGAUGACCAGCCACACUGGAACUGAGACACGGUCCAGACUCCUACGGGAGGCAGCAGUGGGGAAUAUUGCACAAUGGGCGCAAGCCUGAUGCAGCCAUGCCGCGUGUAUGAAGAAGGCCUUCGGGUUGUAAAGUACUUUCAGCGGGGAGGAAGGGAGUAAAGUUAAUACCUUUGCUCAUUGACGUUACCCGCAGAAGAAGCACCGGCUAACUCCGU